UGGGGAAUAUUGGACAAUGCGGGAAACCGUGAUCCAGCAAUGCCGCGUGAGUGAUGAAGGCCUUCGGAUCGUAAAGCUCUGUUGUUGGGGACGAAGGGCGAAGGGUUAAUAGCCCCUAGCCUGACGGUACGCUUCGAGGAAGCCCCGGCUAACUACGUGCCAGGAGCCGCGGUAAUACGUAGGGGGCGAGCGUUGUCCGGAAUUAUUGGGCGUAAAGAGCGUGUAGGCGGCCUGGUAAGUCUGCCGUGAAAACCUGGGGCUCAACCCUGGGCGUGCGGUGGAUACUGCUAGGCUAGAGGAUGGUAGAGGCGAGUGGAAUUCCCGGUGUAGCGGUGAAAUGCGCAGAUAUCGGGAGGAACACCAGUAGCGAAGGCGGCUCGCUGGGCCAUACCUGACGCUGAGACGCGAAAGCUAGGGGAGCAAACAGGAUUAGAUACC
rnacentral:rRNA from 1 species